GAUGAAGAACGUAGCGAAAUGCGAUACUUGGUGUGAAUUGCAGAAUCCCGUGAACCAUCGAGUCUUUGAACGCAAGUUGCGCCCGAAGCCAUUAGGCCGAGGGCACGCCUGCCUGGGCGUCACACGUCGUUGCCCCCCCAUCUACUCCUUCGGGAUUGCGGGGGGCGGAUGAUGGCCUCCCGUGCGCCUCGUCGCGCGGUUGGCAUAAAUGCCAAGUCCUCGGCGACGCACGUCACGACAAUCGGUGGUUGCGAAACCUCGGUUGCCCGUCGUGUGCGGUCGUCGCGCAUCGAGGGCUGGAAAAAAUUGCCGGGCUCCGGCUCGGCUUUCAACGCGACCCCAGGUCAGGCGGGGUUACCCGCUGAAUUUAAGCAUAUCAAUAAGCGGAGGA
rnacentral:misc_RNA from 1 species